rnacentral:rRNA from 1 species
CACGCCGCGUGCAGGAAGACUGCCCUAUGGGUUGUAAACUGCUUUUAUACAGGAAGAAACACUGCUACGUGUAGCAGCUUGACGGUACUGUAAGAAUAAGGACCGGCUAACUCCGUGCCAGCAGCCGCGGUAAUACGGAGGGUCCGAGCGUUAUCCGGAAUCAUUGGGUUUAAAGGGUCCGCAGGCGGUCAAUUAAGUCAGAGGUGAAAUCCCAUAGCUUAACUAUGGAACUGCCUUUGAUACUGGUUGACUUGAGUCAUAUGGAAGUAGAUAGAAUGUGUAGUGUAGCGGUGAAAUGCAUAGAUAUUACACAGAAUACCGAUUGCGAAGGCAGUCUACUACGUAUGUACUGACGCUGAGGGACGAAAGCGUGGGGAGCGAACAGGAUUAGAUACCCUGGUAGUCCACGCCGUAAACGAUGGAUACUAGUUGUUGGGCAUUAGCUCAGUGACUAAGCGAAAGUGAUAAGUAUCCCACCUGGGGAGUACGGUCGCAAGACUGAAACUCAAAGGAAUUGACGGGGGCCCGCACAAGCGGUGGAGCAUGUGGUUUAAUUUGAUGAUACGCGAGGAACCUUACCAGGGCUUAAAUGUAGUCUGACAGCUUUAGAGAUAGAGUUUUCUUCGGACAGAUUACAAGGUGCUGCAUGGUUGUCGUCAGCUCGUGCCGUGAGGUGUCAGGUUAAGUCCUAUAACGAGCGCAACCCCUGUCAUUAGUUGCCAGCAUGUAAAGAUGGGGACUCUAAUGAGACUGCCGGUGCAAACCGCGAGGAAGGUGGGGAUGACGUCAAAUCAUCACGGCCCUUACGUCCUGGGCCACACACGUGCUACAAUGG